rnacentral:rRNA from 1 species
UUUGGAGAAGUUUGAUCCUGGCUCAGGAUGAACGCUUGGAGAAGUUUGAUCCUGGCUCAAGGACGAACGCUGGCGGCGUGCUUAACACAUGCAAGUCGAACGAUGAAGCCGCUUCGGUGGUGGAUUAGUGGCGAACGGGUGAGUAACAAGUGGGUAAUGUGCCCUGCACUCUGGGAUAAGCCUUGGAAACGAGGUCUAAUUCCGGAUAUGACACACGGCCGCAUGGUCUGUGUGUGGAAAGUUCCGGCGGUGCAGGAUGAGCCCGCGGCCUAUCAGCUUGUUGGUGGGGUGAUGGCCUACCAAGGCGACGACGGGUAGGCGGCCUGAGAGGGUGACCGGCCACACUGGGACUGAGACACGGCCCAGACUCCUACGGGAGGCAGCAGUGGGGAAUCUUGCGCAAUGGGCGAAAGCCUGUCGCAGCGGCGCCGCGUGGGGGAUGACGGGUUACGGGUUGUAAACCGCGGCUACAGGGACGAAGGGUAUCGACGGUAGCUGUAGCAAGAAGCAUGGGCUAUCACU